AUACUUAUUACCUGACAGGGGAGACAGCAUGAUCACAAAGUUGGUGUUCCCAAGGCAAGUCUUGCCCAUUGCACUGCGGAUUGUGCUGACUCCUAUGAUUUUCCCAUAUGUGGCAACUAACUGCAGAUUGCACUUGUGGGGUUAAAACAAAACAAAACAAAACAAAAAAAAACCCUA
rnacentral:snRNA from 1 species